AGUGAACGCUGGCGGUAGGCCUAACACAUGCAAGUCGAACGGCAGCACAGUAAGAGCUUGCUCUUACGGGUGGCGAGUGGCGGACGGGUGAGGAAUACAUCGGAAUCUACUUUUUCGUGGGGGAUAACGUGGGGAAACUUACGCUAAUACCGCAUACGACCUACGGGUGAAAGCAGGGGAUCUUCGGACCUUGCGCGAUUGAAUGAGCCGAUGUCGGAUUAGCUAGUUGGCGGGGUAAAGGCCCACCAAGGCGACGAUCCGUAGCUGGUCUGAGAGGAUGAUCAGCCACACUGGAACUGAGACACGGUCCAGACUCCUACGGGAGGCAGCAGUAGGGAAUAUUGGACAAUGGGCGCAAGCCUGAUCCAGCCAUACCGCGUGGGUGAAGAAGGCCUUCGGGUUGUAAAGCCCUUUUGUUGGGAAAGAAAAGCAGCAGGUUAAUACCCCGCUGUUCUGACGGUACCCAAAGAAUAAGCACCGGCUAACUUCGUG
rnacentral:rRNA from 1 species